rnacentral:rRNA from 1 species
UACGUAGGUGGCAAGCGUUGUCCGGAUUUAUUGGGCGUAAAGGGCGCGCAGGCGGUCCGUUAAGUCCGAGGUGAAAUCUCCCGGCCUAACUGGGAGGGGUCUUCGGAUACUGGCGGACUUGAGGAGAGCAGAGGUGAGCGGAAUUCUCGGUGUAGUGGUGAAAUGCGUAGAUAUCGAGAGGAACACCAGCGGCGAAGGCGGCUCACUGGGCUCCACCUGACGCUGAGGCGCGAAAGCGUGGGGAGCAAACCGG